UGGGGAAUCUUGCGCAAUGGGGGCAACCCUGAUGCAGCGACGCCGCGUGAGCGAUGAAGCCCUUCGGGGCGUAAAGCUCUUUCGACCGGAACGAUAAUGACGGUACCGGGAGAAGAAGCUGCGGCUAACUACGUGCCAGCAGCCGCGGUGAUACGUAGGCAGCAAGCGUUGUUCGGAGUUACUGGGCGUAAAGAGUGCGUAGGCGGUUUUCUAAGUUCGGUGUGAAAUCUCCCGGCUUAACUGGGAGGGUGCGCCGAAGACUGGGAAGCUGGAGUGUGGGAAAGGCAGGCGGAAUUCCUGGUGUAGCGGUGAAAUGCGUAGAUAUCAGGAGGAACACCGGCGGUGUAGACGGCUUGCUAGACCAUAACUGACGCUGAGGCACGAAAGCGUGGGUAGCAAACA
rnacentral:rRNA from 1 species